GACGAACGCUGGCGGCGUGCUUAACACAUGCAAGUCGAACGGAAAGGCCCUGCUUUUGUGGGGUGCUCGAGUGGCGAACGGGUGAGUAACACGUGAGUAACCUGCCCUUGACUUUGGGAUAACUUCAGGAAACUGGGGCUAAUACCGGAUAGGAGCUCCUGCUGCAUGGUGGGGGUUGGAAAGUUUCGGCGGUUGGGGAUGGACUCGCGGCUUAUCAGCUUGUUGGUGGGGUAGUGGCUUACCAAGGCUUUGACGGGUAGCCGGCCUGAGAGGGUGACCGGCCACAUUGGGACUGAGAUACGGCCCAGACUCCUACGGGAGGCAGCAGUGGGGAAUAUUGCACAAGGGGCGGAAGCCUGAUGCAGCAACGCCGCGUGCGGGAUGACGGCCUUCGGGUUGUAAACCGCUUUCGCCGGUGACGAAGCGUGGGUGACGGUAAUGGGUAAAGAAGCACCGGCUAACUACGU
rnacentral:rRNA from 1 species